UACCAAGUGAGAUUAUGGCUAUACAAUCAA
rnacentral:piRNA from 1 species